ACAGCCUUCUGAAAGGAAGAUUAAUACAAGAUGGCAUCAUGAGUCCGCAUGUUCACAUGAUUAAAGGUAUUCCGGUAGACGAUGGGGAUGCGUUCCAUUAGAUAGUAGGCGGGGUAACGGCCCACCUAGUCUUCGAUGGAUAGGGGUUCUGAGAGGAAGGUCCCCCACAUUGGAACUGAGACACGGUCCAAACUCCUACGGGAGGCAGCAGUGAGGAAUAUUGGUCAAUGGGCGAGAGCCUGAACCAGCCAAGUAGCGUGAAGGAUGACUGCCCUAUGGGUUGUAAACUUCUUUUAUAAAGGAAUAAAGUCGGGUAUGGAUACCCGUUUGCAUGUACUUUAUGAAUAAGGAUCGGCUAACUCCGUGCCAGCAGCCGCGGUAAUACGGAGGAUCCGAGCGUUAUCCGGAUUUAUUGGGUUUAAAGGGAGCGUAGAUGGAUGUUUAAGUCAGUUGUGAAAGUUUGCGGCUCAACCGUAAAAUUGCAGUUGAUACUGGAUAUCUUGAGUGCAGUUGAGGCAGGCGGAAUUCGUGGUGUAGCGGUGAAAUGCUUAGAUAUCACGAAGAACUCCGAUUGCGA
rnacentral:rRNA from 1 species